rnacentral:misc_RNA from 1 species
UUUCCGUAGGUGAACCUGCGGAAGGAUCAUUACUGAGUCUUGAAUGAAGUUGUUCUGGUCUUUCGGGGCAAGUGAACGCUUCUCUCAAUCCAUCUUACACCUGUGCACCUAUUGGGGAAGACUUGGAUCUAAGUUGGGUCACGACGGCGAUCUACAGUCUCCUCUUUAUACCAAAUAACAGUCUUAGAAAGUCUUUUUUGCUUGAUGCAAACUUAAAUAAAUACAACUUUCAGCAACGGAUCUCUUGGCUCUC